rnacentral:tRNA from 5 species
GGGGACGUAGCUCAAUUGGGAGAGCACCGCCUUUGCAAGGCGGGGGUUAGGGGUUCGAGCCCCCUCGUCUCCA